CGCCGCGUGAGGGAUGAAGGCCUCUGGGCUGUAAACCUCUUUUAUCAAGGAAGAAGAUCUGACGGUACUUGAUGAAUAAGCCACGGCUAAUUCCGUGCCAGCAGCCGCGGUAAUACGGGAGUGGCAAGCGUUAUCCGGAAUUAUUGGGCGUAAAGCGUCCGCAGGCGGUCUUUUAAGUCUGUCGUCAAAGCGUGGAGCUUAACUCCAUUUCUGCGAUGGAAACUGGAAGACUAGAGUGUGGUAGGGGCAGAGGGAAUUCCCGGUGUAGCGGUGAAAUGCGUAGAUAUCGGGAAGAACACCAGUGGCGAAGGCGCUCUGCUGGGCCAUAACUGACGCUCAUGGACGAAAGCCAGGGGAGCGAAAGGGAUUAGAUACCCCUGUAGUCCUGGCCGUAAACGAUGAACACUAGGUGUCGGGGGAAUCGAACCCCUCGGUGUCGUAGCCAACGCGUUAAGUGUUCCGCCUGGGGAGUACGCACGCAAGUGUGAAACUCAAAGGAAUUGACGGGGGCCCGCACAAGCGGUGGAGUAUGUGGUUUAAUUCGAUGCAACGCGAAGAACUUGACAGGUUUGAAUCCUGCGAAUCUCUUGGGAACGAGAGAGUGCUUCGGG
rnacentral:rRNA from 1 species